AAUCUAUUAGGGAGUUUUUUGUUCUAAUAUUUCGUAUGAUUCACAAUUUAAUGAGUACUUAAAAGCAUGAUCAAACAAGUAUGAAUCUUAAAAAUAAUGAUUCUCGAGCUAACGAUAAUCAUCUCCAUAAAACAAAGAGCCUUCACAAUUUCGAAUUCCGUAAUAAUAUCAGCCCUGCACUUUUGUGAUCCAACACAUGGUGACGAUUUUGAAUAACCAACGAAUCGUGCAAAAUUGUGGUAUGCAUUUGAG
rnacentral:lncRNA from 1 species